rnacentral:rRNA from 1 species
GACGAACGCUGGCGGCGUGCUUAACACAUGCAAGUCGAACGGAAAGGCCCUGCUUUUGUGGGUUGCUCGAGUGGCGAACGGGUGAGUAACACGUGAGUAACCUGCCCUUGACUUUGGGAUAACUUCAGGAAACUGGGGCUAAUACCGGAUAGGAGCUCCUGCUGCAUGGUGGGGGUUGGAAAGUUUCGGCGGUUGGGGAUGGACUCGCGGCUUAUCAGCUUGUUGGUGGGGUAGUGGCUUACCAAGGCUUUGACGGGUAGCCGGCCUGAGAGGGUGACCGGCAACAUUGGGACUGAGAUACGGCCCAGCCUCCUACGGGAGGCAGCAGUGGGGAAUAUUGCACAAUGGGCGGAAGCCUGAUGCAGCAACGCCGCGUGCGGGAUGACGGCCUUCGGGUUGUAAACCGCUUUCGCCUGUGACGAAGCGUGAGUGACGGUAAUGGGUAAAGAAGCACCGGCUAACUACGUG